CCCCUCACUGACCACGCCCUCUUUUGGCCCCGCCCCCCAGCACAUCUGCCGCUACCUCCAGGCCGAGGCGGACAAGAAGGAGCGGCCGGAUUUCCGCGAGGGCUGGAGGGGAGCCUUCAAAAUGAACGUCGCCCGGCAGAACAACGACAGCGACUGCGGCGCCUUCGUGCUGCAGUACUGCAAAUUCCUGGCGCUGGGGCGGCCGUUCAGCUUCACGCAGCAGGACAUGCCCCACCUGCGCCGCCUGAUGUACAAGGAGCUCUGCCACUGCCAGCUCGCCCUCUAAAAACCCCAAAUUUGGGGGAUUCACCCCAAAAAAACCCCGGAAAAAUCCCCCAAAAAAACCCCCCAAAAAUCCCCCAAAAAAACCCCGGAAAAAUCCGCCCCGGAACGGCCGAAUUUGGGAUUUUUUGGGGAAUUUUAGGGGAAUUUUUGGGGAAUUUUUGGGGAAUUUUUGGGGUUUUUUGGGGAAU